AGUGAACGCUGGCGGCGUGCCUAAUACAUGCAAGUCGAACGGAGAUUAAGUAGCUUGCUAUUUAAUCUUAGUGGCGCACGGGUGAGUAAUAUAUAGCUAACUUGCCCAUUACUAAGGGACAACAGUUGGAAACGACUGCUAAUACCUUAUACUCCGUAUCUAUAUAAGUAGAUACGGGAAAGUUUUUCGGUAAUGGAUAGGGCUAUAUCGUAUCAGCUAGUUGGUAAGGUAAUGGCUUACCAAGGCUAUGACGCGUAACUGGUCUGAGAGGAUGAUCAGUCACACUGGAACUGAGACACGUUCCAGACUCCUACGGGAGGCAGCAGUAGGGAAUAUUGCUCAAUGGGGGAAACCCUGAAGCAGCAACGCCGCGUGGAGGAUGACACUUUUCGGAGCGUAAACUCCUUUUCUUGGGAAAGAAUUAUGACGGUACCCAAGGAAUAAGCACCGGCUAACUCCGU
rnacentral:rRNA from 1 species